UGGGGAAUUUUGGACAAUGGGCGCAAGCCUGAUCCAGCAAUGCCGCGUGCAGGAUGAAGGCCUUCGGGUUGUAAACUGCUUUUGUACGGAGCGAAAAGGUCUGCCCUAAUACGGUGGUCUCAUGACGGUACCGUAAGAAUAAGCACCGGCUAACUACUUGCCUGCAGCCGCGGUAAUACGUAGGGUGCGAGCGUUAAUCGGAAUUACUGGGUGUAAAGCGUGCGCAGGCGGUAAUGCAAGACAGUUGUGAAAUCCCCGGGCUCAACCUGGGAACUGCAUUUGUGACUGCAUUGCUGGAGUGCGGAAGAGGAGGAUGGAAUUCCGCGUGUAGCAGUGAAAUGAGUAGAUAUGCGGAGGAACACAGAUGGCGAAGGCAAUCCCAUGGGCCUGCACUGACGCUCAUGAACGAAAGCGUGGGGAGCAAACA
rnacentral:rRNA from 1 species